rnacentral:rRNA from 1 species
CCUACGGGAGGCAGCAGUGAGGAAUAUUGGUCAAUGGGCUUACGCCUGAACCAGCCAAGUCGCGUGAGGGAAGACUGCCCUAUGGGUUGUAAACCUCUUUUGUCAGGGAGCAACGCCGGCUACGUGUAGCCGGACUGAGAGUACCUGAAGAAAAAGCAUCGGCUAACUCCGUGCCAGCAGCCGCGGUAAUACGGGGGAUGCGAGCGUUAUCCGGAUUUUUUGGGGUUAAAGGGUGCGUAGGCGGAAUGCCAAGUCAGCGGUAAAAUCGCGGGGCUCAACCUCGCUCCGCCGUUGAAACUGGCGUUCUUGAGUGAGCGAGAAGUAUGCGGAAUGCGUGGUGUAGCGGUGAAAUGCAUAGAUAUCACGCAGAACUCCGAUUGCGAAGGCAGCAUACCGGCGCCCAACUGACGCUGAAGCACGAAAGCGUGGGUAUCGAACAGGAUUAGAUACCCUAGUAGUC